CAGUCGCCGCGGUAAUACGAAGGUCCCGAGCGUUGUUCGGAAUCACUGGGCGUAAAGCGCACGUAGGCGGCUUUGUAAGUUAGAGGUGAAAGCCCGGGGCUCAACCCCGGAAUUGCCUUUAAGACUGCAGAGCUAGCAGGUGAGAGAGGUGAGUGGAAUUCCGAGUGUAGAGGUGAAAUUCGUAGAUAUUCGGAAGAACACCAGUGGCGAAGGCGGCUCACUGGCUCAUACUGGACGCUGAGGUGCGAAAGCGUGGGGAGCAAACAGGAUUAGAGACCCCGGUAGUCCCUGUCUCUUAUAC
rnacentral:rRNA from 1 species